rnacentral:misc_RNA from 1 species
AAGUCGUAACAAGGUUUCCGUAGGUGAACCUGCGGAAGGAUCAUUAAAAACUUUUAUUCGAGAAUUCGUUUCGUUUUCCCGGAUUAUUUGUAUUCAAAUCCCACUCUUUAUAAAUAUAUCAAUUAUAUAAAACAAAAAUAAAAAAGAAAACUUUCAACAACGGAUCUCUUGGCUCUC